UACAGAGGGUGCAAGCGUUAAUCGGAAUUACUGGGCGUAAAGCGUGCGCAGGCGGUUAUGUAAGACAGAUGUGAAAUCCCCGGGCUCAACCUGGGAACUGCAUUGUGACUGCAUAGCUAGAGUACGGUAGAGGGGGAUGGAAUUCCGCGUGUAGCAGUGAAAUGCGUAGAUAUGCGGAGGAACACCGAUGGCGAAGGCAAUCCCCUGGACCUGUACUGACGCUCAUGCACGAAAGGCGUGGGGAGCAAACAGG
rnacentral:rRNA from 1 species